rnacentral:ncRNA from 1 species
AUCCACUGGGGGAGCCGUGAACGGCUGAGACAAGAAGUAUCUUGGACCCUUUGAACCUGAUCUAGUUCGUACUAGCGUAGGAAAGUGGAGU